GUCUGAGUUGCAUUCAGAGGAUGUAGGUUGAUCUCCUGCAAGUCCUA
rnacentral:tRNA from 1 species